UACUCUUACCUGGUGCUACUGUUUCC
rnacentral:piRNA from 1 species